GGAGAUUGAGGAGCUGAAGAAGAGAGACGCUGAGCUGAAGGAGCUUUCAGACACCAAGGACAACAUUCACUUCCUGCAGACCUUCUCAUCUCGCUGUGUUCUUCCUUCUGAUGGAGACUCGCUCAGCUUCACUGUCACUGCUGAUUUCUCUUUUGAGGACCUGAGAAAGCAGCUGUCAGGUCUGAAAAAGAGUCUGAAGAAGAUCAGCCAGUGGGACAUCAAGGCAUGGACAACAUCAGGUCAUGAAGCUCCACUUGUCACCCUACAGCCUCCUGAACCUCACAGCAGAGACGAGUUUUUACAACACCAAACUGCAACAAUCGUUACAACCGAGCACCCAG